GGAGGUCAUCUUGGUAGAUUGUAACUUAAUAGUAGAUGCAGGGCUACGCUCAUGCUGCCAGAGAGGGGGCACAUAGUGUCGGUGAAAGUUCUAGUUCCACAUCAUGGAGUAGUCAGCAGGAUACUGAGGAUGACCGAAUGAUUGCUCUUGUACUAUCAGAAGAAUUCGCCAACCUAGAUGGUGCAGUUGCUAGACGCCUCACUAACCUGGCACCUAUUCCUCAUGUUCCACGGAUAAAUACAUAUAUAC
rnacentral:misc_RNA from 1 species